UCUCUAUAAAAGCCAACCCUCUCACGACUCUGAAUCGAUCAUAUGUGCACCACCGAAGACGAUAGGAUGAGGACAGUCGUCAAGAGUCGUGCUUCUCUCCUCCUCACACUCGUCAUCAUCGUCUUCCUCGUCACAGCGAGAGGGGAGACGACCCCUGUGAAGGAAGCGAACUCGCAUAUUACAUACCAUGCCCCUAGCCGUCAGCCCGCGCCCCCCGGAGGACCCUAUACGAGGGGAUGCGGGAGCCAUUACUACUGCCGUCCGCCUUCUACCCCUCCGCCUCCGCCUUCGACCCCAUGAUAGGCUACUUCGGCAGCCUGGAGGAGUUGUUCCUUUGACGACGCAAAAUAUAUACAGGAGGCAGAUACGUACAAUAUAUAUAUAUAUAUAUAUAUAUAUAUAUAUAUAUAUAUAUAUAUAUAUAUAUAUAUAUAUAUAUAUAUAUAUAUAUAUAUAUAUAUAUAUAUAUAUAUAUAUAUAUAUAUAUAUAUAUUACUAUCACAAAAUAUCUUAGAGCCUUUGAGGUCAUUGUAUGGGACAAGUAGCACGUGCCUUUUAUAAACUCAAAGACUAAGGGUGUAGUCUCCCUCAACUCUUAUCAUCACGUAACCAUAUAUUUUAUAUUCCAUCGAGAAAUAAUUUCUUUA